UGACGAAUGCGAAGCAACGCUGAAAACCAUAUUGACUGCCAAUAUCAACAUGCAGUAUGAAAAUAAUUUUCCACCAAUUUUGACAAGACAGUCUAAUGGGAUGAUCCACAUUGGGCGAAACGAGUGGAUUAGUGAAAUCCACUAUAACAGAGUGUGCAACUCGUCGAAAACUCCUCGUCAAUUUGCAAGUAACAUUAUUUUCCCUGUUUUCGACGAUGAAUUGCU